rnacentral:lncRNA from 1 species
CUUGUCAUGCCUAUAUAUGCUGCUUUCCUAUGUGUGUCUUGAUAUUCGAAUGGUAUUUUAUAUAUACCUGAUUUUUCUAAGUUUUCUCUUUUAUCCUUUUCAUUCCUUAGGCUAUUGAAUAUAUUCGAUGUUCUUUUGUAUGCCAGUUUUCUUCCUGUGUUCCUUGCUAUGAACACUGCAUUAGCAACUGAGGCAUGUAAUGCAGACCUAGUGAUGGAUUGGCACAGCACCAGGAUCGUGGGGCACGUUGGAGGCGAGGCGCAGGCCUUGAUGGCGGAAAUGAUUGGGAUGUCGGGGGGAAGGGAGACGGAAGGCAUUGUCAGUGGUGGACCAUCGGUGGAGUUGCCAUCAGCGUGGAAGUAUAUCCUAAGGAAGACAACCUA